rnacentral:rRNA from 1 species
AACGAACGCUGGCGGCAUGCCUAACACAUGCAAGUCGAACGAGACCUUCGGGUCUAGUGGCGCACGGGUGCGUAACGCGUGGGAACCUGCCCUUAGGUUCGGAAUAACUCCCCGAAAGGGGUGCUAAUACCGGAUAAUGUCUUCGGACCAAAGAUUUAUCGCCUUUGGAUGGGCCCGCGUUGGAUUAGCUAGUUGGUAGGGUAAAAGCCUACCAAGGCGACGAUCCAUAGCUGGUCUGAGAGGAUGAUCAGCCACACUGGGACUGAGACACGGCCCAGGCUCCUACGGGAGGCAGCAGUGGGGAAUAUUGGACAAUGGGCGAAAGCCUGAUCCAGCAAUGCCGCGUGAGUGAUGAAGGCCUUAGGGUUGUAAAGCUCUUUUACCCGGGAUGAUAAUGACAGUACCGGGAGAAUAAGCGCCGGCUAACUCCGUG